rnacentral:lncRNA from 10 species
AUUCAUUCCAUACAUUUUUUAACAAACCAUACUUACAUUUGCCUUUUAUUUUUUAUUUUUUAAUUUCAAUAAAUUUAUGGGGUAUAAGUACACUUUUGUUACUUGCAUAGAUUGCAUAGUGGUGAAAUCAACACUUUUAUAAAGAGUAUCCAUCACUCGAAUAACUUACAUUGUAUUCGUUAAAUAAUUUUUCAUCAUCCACUCCCUCACCCUUCUGAGUCUCCAUUGCCUAUCAUUCCACAUUCUACAUCUACAUGUAUACAUUAUUUAGCUUCCACUUAUAAGUAAGAACAGGUGAUAUUUGUCUAUCUGUGUUCGACUUGUUUCACUUAGAUAAUUACCUCCAGGUCCAUCCAUGAUUCUGCAAAGACAUGAUUUCAUUCUUUUCUACAGCUGAAGAGUAUUCCAUAGCGUGUGUGUAUAUAGAUAGAUAGAUAGAUAGAUAGAUAGAUAGAUAGAUAGAUACAUAGAUAGUCAUUGCCCCCUGGAGUUUCAAAUCCAACAGAAGAAAUAUAAUUCAGGGAAUUUCACAUUCUUGACUUUUUCCCCUGUGCAAUUGUCUCCUCAUGGAAUUUUGGCACACAUUUACUUAAAAAUACACACAUACACACACACACAGUAUUUGAGCACAUCGGGGAAUAAAAUAUAGAACUUGUCUAGCAAAAUGAUUAUAUAUAUAUAUAUAUACACACACACACACACACAUGCCCAUCCCCACCCCCUAUUUAUGUAUAUAUAUACACACACACCACAUUUUCUUUAUCCAAUUAUCCAUUGAUAGACAAUAAGGUUGGUUCCAUAUUGCAGCACUUAGUGCUGUAACAAAUAUAUGUAAGUAUCUUUUGAAUAUAAUAAUUUUUUCCUUUGGAUAGAUGCCCAGCAGUGGGAUUGCUGGAUCAAAUAAUAGUUCUACAUUCUUAGAGAUCAUUUAAUAUGUGCCAGACUCGAGAAGGGAAAGAGGAUAUAGGAGUAAAGAGGAUAGAUAGUCAUUGCCCCCUGGAGUUUCAAAUCCAGCAGAAGAAAUAUAAUUCAGGGAAUUUCACAUUCUUGACUUUUUUCCCCUGCGCAAUUGUCUCCUCAUGGAAUUUUGGCACAAAUUUACUUAAACACACACACACACACACACACACACACACAUAGUAUUUGAGCAUAUCAGGGAAUAAAAUAUAUAACUUGUCUAGCAAAAUGAUAAGUGACAUAGUCAAAAUAUUGAUGAACUAACAGGCGAAUGGCAAAUGCCAAAGCCCUGAAAUCAAUUAGGCAGCAUCACUAAAUGUCAGCUACCAGAAUAAUUCCACCCCUUGUGGCCUGCCUGGUUUUCAUGAGGUUUGUGGUCUGCAGGAUUAUAAGGUUGGAUUUAGAGGCUGCCUUAUCAUUUUGACUGGAUUCCCCAUUUAAUGAAAAAGGCCUAGUCACAUUCAGGAAAUAUUAGCGAAUGGUUUUUAAGAUGAAGGAAUUAGCUUAAUUGGUUGAAUACACAUUAGACGGAGCAGUGUUUCUGAAAGUAUGGAUUCCAGGGGACAGCAUCCAGUAUUGUUUUGGUUUUGUUUUGUUUUUAACAGGUAUCUCCAGUCGAUUCUGCACAGGUAGUAUACACAGAGUAUAGUUUGAGAAAUACUGCUUUAGAAAAGGUAGAUGGAUUUAAUUCCUGAAAGUCAUAAAAAUAUGGUCAAAAUGGGUGUGAGCAACACCAUUAGACAAUCUGAAUGAGAGUGGGUGUAAAUUUGUACAGUGAGAAUUACAUCUAGGUGGAGAAAUGACUUGGAAGCUUGAGUUGCAGUCUGGAUUGCUCCACAUUUACAUUUUCAUACAUCCCAGAAGUAUGGAAUCCAUUUCCUCAAACUUUAAGCUUUAUUAACUCAACCUUGGUCUCACAGUGCCUGCAUAGCACUUUGGAGAUAGAAAAUACUAAAAAGACUUCUUUGAAGGGCUUUUCUGUUGAUUUGGGAGAAUAAGGUAUGUUCAUAAGGCUUUUAAAUAUCAGCAUGGGUUAGCAGAUAAUUAGUUGUUGAUAUGAACCCUAGAAAUAAUCAAUGUAAUGGGAAUUCAGAAGUAGGAGAGUUCUGGUCCAGCCAGCAGGCUAAAGGCAGGCCACGUUGAAGGUGAGGGACUGUAUGAGCUCUAUAAGGGAUAAAGGGUGUAUCCGGGAAGAAAGUGACACUAGGGCAUCCCUUGUGGGGACCACAGCACAAAUUCUGUGGGAAAGCGUUGAAGAGUGUUGGCUUGAUAUUUCUAUCAGACAUUGGUUCUCAGAAGGAAUAUGACUAUCAGAAGGCUUUUCAGAAAUCUUUGGGAGUGAUUUAGGUUGUCACAACUGGGGAGAUACUACUGUCAUUUAAUGAGUCAAGUCUGGAAGUUGCAGGCAUCCUACAAUAUGUGAAGUAGACACAGAAAAUAGUAAAUUUUCCUGAGUCCUGGAUGCCUUUCAGAUGUCCUGCUGGACAUUCAUGUGGUUGAAAACCUGCAUAUAUUUAUUUUAUGUAUAGCCUAGACUACAUGAUUGAUAGAUAUAGAUAUAGAUAUAUAGACAAUGCUUUAGUAUUAUUAUAUUUUCCAGGACUGCAACUACAGAGGAUAGGUUGUAGUUGACUACCUUCAGAGUUUUACCAAGCAUUGUUCACCAUUUCAGAAUAUCAUAUCACCAAUCAACAAUGACAGCACCACUCAUGGAAAUUUCACUUUGAGAACUGGUUUAAGUUUGUAGCUGUCAGACUCACGGUAAUUCUGUGCAUAUAUAUAUGAUUGUCCUUAGUUCUUAUUUCAAACCGUCAAAUGGAAAGUGAAGGAAUGAACAAUAUUCUGUGUGUAUUCUAACUUUUCAAAAAUCAACAAUGAUUUUAUAUAAAUGGAUGCACAGAUCAGUAUGUUUCUAGUGUAAUCAUGCCUGAGCACUUAUAUUUUAAAAUGUUAUUUUAAGUUAAUUUUCUCUAUUUCUCCUCUAUCUUGUAGUGAAGUCAUCAUGUUAAUGUUUUUCAAACUGUUGGCUAUGUUGUGAAAUAUUCAUAAUAGAAAGGAGAUGUAGGGCUUGAUAAGCAUUAAAAACUCCUGGAUUAAGAAAUCAAAUCUGAGAAUUACAAGGUCAUAUUUGCUUAAAUUCACUGUAGUGGGGGCUGGGAUGGGCAUGGAGUGGGGUGAACUUCUGUUCAGCUUUACAUCUUUCUCCCUAGUGCUGCGAUAACUGGUUUGCUCAAAUACAUCAAGUUUUAGUAAUUUAUUUUAGCAAGAGGUAGGUAGAUAGGCUUUUUAUAUUUUUUCAAUAUUUAAAUUAUUUAUAUCUGGUGUGGAUGUUUAUAGAAUAACGGAUUUGGCCAAGGAAAUGGCUGUUGUAUGGCUUCUUUAUCAGCGUCUUCAGUGCAUCAAAAUGCUUUCCUUCUGUUUAAAUACCAUAGGGGUCUCUGCUGAGAAGUAUUAUCUGAAUAAGCCAUUUUUGUGAUAAGAACACACCCCAACAGCCUUUCCCCCAGUUCAGCUUAUGUUCUUAAGCUCUGCAGAGAAGUUUCUCUUUUUUCUUUUUACAAACUAAGCAACGCUUUUCCCCUGAGAGAUGGCUGAGGCUUCCCAGAACUCCAUGCUUCUCCAGAAACUAUCCCUCAGGCAAGUCUGAGGUCCACUUAAACCAAACUUUGGCAAGAGGGAGAAAUCUCAUGUUUCCGCAAAGAUAAAAUGAAGUGGCAAGGCAUGGGGGUAAAGUCUCCAAUAGUUGGAGCUAGAAAUUGUUCAUAAUUAUGAUGAGAGAUUUGGUGUCAGGAUAAAUCUUAAGCCUGCUUUCCCAAUAUUCAAGGAUGGCAGGAUGUAUCACAGGGUCUUGUAAGAUUUUACCAGGAGAAAAUAAAUGUGUUGCUUUCACUUAGAAAACAAGUAUAUUUUAUGUGUCGCGUUAAUAAACAAGAGAAUAAAGCCAUAAAAGCAAUAGUGAUCAGUUACAGAAACACGAGCUGCAUAUUGCUGGUUAGGUGUUUAAUAAAAAGAUCAUGUAGACCAAGGCUCAAAGAUCCCCCAGUCAUUGUUUAAGAUGGAUUUCCAUGCUGAGGGCUAAAUAACCAGGAAACAGUAAAUGUGAUGCUCAUUUUAUGUUGAGAUUGCAUCCAGAUGCCAUCUUUGCUGUUCUUGGGCCUGACAUACCCAUUAAAGGGAGGUUGUUUAGACCACAAAUGGUAUGCUAAAUAAAUAAAGCUUAUUGGUGGUAAGGAUGCAGCUUUGAUUACUCUGAAAAUUAGGUAUUUUCACCAAGAAAAUGCUUUUUGUAAUUCGAUAUACUCAAGAAUUUUGAUCUAAGAAUCAUUUCAGGAUGGUUGCCUGCUGCUGAGUACAUCAAAUAGACUGACUUUGGUUUGGGUUUUGGUUUUCUAGGAAGCUGUUUUGGCAUCAGGUAGACGUUGGCUAAAACUGUCAACUGGGCAAUAUUCAACAGUAUGGUCAUGUUUAAGAGCUUGGGCUUUGCAGGCUAAUAGAUUUGGGUUUAAAACCCCAGACUCUACUCAUGAACUAGGGGUCUUCUGGAAAGUUACUAUAAAAGCAACAACAAUGACAACAUCGUAUUAUCAACAAUUUUAAACAUAAACAAAAUUAGAGAAAAUAACUCAGUGAUCUUCUGUGUACCCAUCACUAGCUUCAAAAAUUGUCAAUAUUUGGAGCAAGUUACUUAACCAUGCUCUCAUCAGUAAAAUGGAAUUCACAAUAAUUCUCACAUUCAAGAGUUCGUGUAGGGAUUAUAAAAGCAAUAGUUUAUAUAUAUUACCUUUAAGCACAGAGGCUGAAUAUAAUAAGUGCUCUCAAAAGUUUAUUCCAUUUCGAACUAGGAAUACCUUUGGUUUAAAGACACAGCAACCUAUGCUGAAUGAAAAGUAGGAUCUUUGUGGUUUUACUGGCCUUUAGAAUUUCACAAAGAAUAUAGCCCCUUAGCAUAAAAUGAUUAGAUCUUAUAUUUAAAAAAUAACCCCCCAGAUGGUACAGGGAUCUGAUGCUGAGCUAGCCAAGGCUGUGUCUCAGCAAAAAUUCGAAAUGACCCAUGAAAGGCAAAAACUUCCUUAAAGAAGAUGAUACUGUCCUUGAAAAAAAAAUUGUCACAAAAAAACAAAAAGUCUGUGGCUAGAAAAUCUUACCCCAAUGAAGGAAUAUCCUUUCUGCUCAGGUCUACAGGCCACCAGUGCUAUAGAUGACCUCAGAGUAAAUAGCAGUCCUGCCAUUUCCUUUUGGCUAUUCUCAGAGGCCUUUAUGGCAGUGAGGGAGAGCAUUCUUUUGGUGCGAGAAAUAGUUACUGCUCUUGGGUUAGACUAAGAAAGUUUUGCUGAGCUUCAGGAUCCAGAGUGAUUAAUUUACAGAAAGCGCUCAAGGGUCUAUCAGAUGGGGCUUCCCUGCCAGGAGAGGUGUUGGGGAAGGCUAGUUUUCUAGGAUGAAAACUGAGCUGCUUUGCUGAGUAGAUCAGAAAAGGGGGUACGCUGGGGGGAGAAAUGUAGUUUUAACCCUGAUUUGUAGCGAUUAUUAUGACCAUCAAAGAGUCCUUUGGUAGAGCAAAUAAGGAUAUAGAAUUUUAAAAAUCUACAAAUUGGGAUAUUUAUUUUGGAGCCAAAAGCAAUUUAAUUUUAAAAUGGGAGCAACACCAUAGAAAAAAUACUUUUAGGUCUUAUCCUUCCACUUAUACUGGUGUGACCUUGAACAAAUUCCUUAACCUAUCCUAUCUUCAGUUUCCUUGUCUACAAAAUGGAGAUUAUAAUAGUCUUCCUACCCUGAGGUUUUUGCCAGGGAGAAAGAGAUAACACAGGUAAAUACAUGUGCAUUGCUUUUAAAUACUAGGUAAAGACUCAUAACAUCACCAUCACAAUCAUCAUCGUGGUCAUCAUUAGUAUUAUUACUAUUUUGGUGAGUUGAUCAAUGAUGCUACUGGAUGGAGAACUUUUUCUGAAUGGCAUUUCUCUUGCCGUUGGCUUGGACAUAGGCAGGUAAACUCAAUGUGGAAAUUUUGAUGCAGUAAUUAUUUGUUUUUCUUGUAGCAAAUUGCAGAGAAUCCAUACAUGUAAGGACCGUGCACUAACUGAUUGUGCCAGUGGAGCUCCAUGGAACCCAUACAUAAAGCACACCUCUUCUCUUCUCCUUGGCAUCCAACCUGCUGGCUCUACAACUACUUUCAACAAUGAGUCAAGGCUGUACCUGGCAAGAUGGAAAUUCAAAAUCAACAACGAAAGCUAUUUAUUUUGGUUUUGAUCCUAGCCCUGGGCCUUUUACUAAGUAUUCAGAACUGAUUUAAUGAAUGAAAAAAUGAAUGAAUGGUAUACAUUUCCAUUGUCUAUUCUGCUUCUUUUCCCUAGGGAACUGUGUUAGGCCAUGAUUUCCUUGCUGUUUUUUUCAUAUGGUUGUUUUAUUUGCACAACGCUAAAUUAAAUCAACUAGUUCCAUUCAUGUAUUUCUCUCUUGUUUUAUAACCACCUGAUUUCUUAUUUUUAUUUAAACAGAAAUUAAAUAGUAAAAACUUUGGAGUAUUUAAUUUUACUUAAUUAAAAAUUGUUUUAAAAAAUAAACGUUUACCUGAAAUGAGUAUUGAAUUUUGAAAAGCACCUUCAACAAACCCCUUUUUGGAUGAGUUCAAUAAUGGUUGAAGAGGGCACAAUUCAUGGUGAAUGAAUUUGAAAGUGUAAUAGAUUUAAAAGUGUUUUAAAGGGGCUAAUAUAGAAAAGCCCAAACAAAUUAUUCAGGAUUUAAGGAUAUUAUUUAGAAAACAUGCUUUCUUGUAUGACUGUUUCUUAUUCUCCUUUGUGGUUGCUUGAGCACCACUAGAGUGACUCUGUUAUAAUGGAAUUGUUUAACACAAAGUAUGCUGAGCAGUUAAUACUUUACAACUAUAUUUUAAGGUAUGUAUUGUUAUGCUUUUUAAAUCAUAAAUUAAAAAAUAAGCCUCAGAGAUAUUGAGUAUCUUGUCCAAGUUUGCACCAGUGGAAAUUUACAAAUCCAAGGUUUGUGUCCUGAUUUAACCGGCUCUGAAUUCCAGAUUCUAAAUUUGCUGUCGAGCAGAGAGUGAUUUGCACUAGAAAAGUAAAUUGUUUUCCCACUUAGGCAGACUUCUCACAUAAGUAAAGGACUUGUGAGAUCUUUAACUUUACAUUGCCUUUACAUUACUCUGGUCUAGUCAGUAAAUAGUCCCAUGAUUGCCCAUUCUGCAAAGUUAAUUGGCCAGUGAGAGAAAUAAGAUCAGGACCUACAGCCUCAUAUUCUUGAGAUCUCCUUUAGUGACAAAUCAGAGAUGAUAUGUUUCUUGUUAAGAGCAGGUAAAUUUUUGCAACUCUUCUGUGUGUUGAAACAAAUAAAAAAUAGAUAAAUUGUAAUAUUUAGUAAAAAUAUUCGUAGGCCAUAAUUCAAAUUAGAGUUGCAGGAAGAGUAAGUGGGAGGUAAAAAAAAAAAAGGAGAGUGAACUUCUGAUUCAUUUGGCAGUGAAUAGGGAGGGAAAAUAACGUGUUUGGGCUAUAACUGGGAGGGAAGGAUAUUGAAAAUAAUACUAAGUGAAGGUUGGAGAUUAAACACUCUCUUCCCCCAAUGUCAGUGGUGGCCUAGUCCCAACUUCUCCUCUGCUUCUUCACCAAAUUACCUCUCACCAUGGUUACCUCCACAUUGCUAAACUCCCAACUUCUCCUCUCCUUCUUCACCAAAUUACCUCUCACCAUGGUUACCUCCACAUUCCUAAACAGACAUUCUUUAGUCUUCAUCUUAGUUGUCAUCUGAGCAUCACUGGUACUAUUGCCUACUGUUUCUUCCCUUUCCCUGAUUUCUGGGCACAAUUCUCUCUGUUUAUUUUCCUAGUGUUCCUUGUCCUCCUUUGUAGGUUCUUUUUCUUUUACCCAGCCAUUAGCUGUUGGAGGUCCUAGGCCCUCUCUUCUUACUCUAAUUUCUCUACCCAGUGAUCUCAUCCACCCCUGUGGUUUCAAGUUGCAUAUAUACUCAGAUGACUCAUGGUUUUAUCUCCAGUCUUGAUCUUGCCCUUAACUCCAGACCCAUAUAUCAACUGUCUACUUACCAUCUUUUGAAUGCCUUGAAGGUACCUUGCGUUCAGCAUGUCCAGGACUGAGCUCAUGAUCUUCUCUCCCAGGCCUGGUCCUCUUCCAGGGUCUCUCUCGCUGAACAACACCACUGUUCUGUCUACUUGCUCACGCAGAAGCCAAACAGCUAAUCUCUCCCUUAACCCCCUUAUUCAUCACCAAGUUCUACUGAUUUCACCGACUAAAUCUCUCUUGAAUCCACCUACCUCUGUCUACCUCCUUGGCCAUCACCUUAGGCCAUGCCACAGUGGUGUCUUUUCUGAGCACUGCAGCUUACCCUUGGGCUGAUCUACCUGCAUCCACCCUGGCCUCUCUACCAUCUUGUCUCUACCCUGCAUUUUUCAAAAUGUAAAUUGCAUCAUGUCACUCCCGAGCUUAGAAUCCUCCCAUUAUUUUUCAUUCUUCUUAGGACACAGUCAGAAAUCGGCCCCAUAGCUCACCAGGUGCUACCUAGUCUAGGGCAGUGGUUCUCAAAGUGUAGUCUUGGAAUCCAUCAGCAUCACCCAGUAGUGUGUUUUGAAAUUCAACAUCUUACGUCUCACUUUAGAUCUGCUGAGUCAGAAACUCUGGGGAAGGGGUCCAACAGAUUGUGUUUUCACAAGCCUUCCAAGUGAUUCUGAUGUAUAUACUCAAGUCUGAAAACCACUGCUCUAGGGCCCACCUACCUUUCUGGCUAUAUACAGUCUCUUGCUCUCACGUUCCAGACUCUCAUAGCUUGCUUUUAUUCCCUCAUCAAGCAUACAUUUCCUCCUACCACAGGGCCUUUGCACAGCUCUUCCUUUUUCCUUGAACACUUCUCCUUCUUCUCCUUCUCUGGUUAACAUCUACUCCUCCCUCAGGUCUCAGCUCAAUAAAGCUGCCUAGGACCAAUUUCUCCUAAUGAUAUAUAUUGCUCCUUUAUAACACUUAAAACAGCUGUGUAUUUGUCAUUUUUGUGUGGUUAUUGAUUAACAUCUAUCUCCCCUACUAUACUAUAAACACCAAAAGAAUUGAGAUGGUAUGUGUUUUUGUUUAUUAUCUGCACUAUUUUG